GCUGAAGAUCAAAUUACAUAUGCUACAGGCGAUGCAGGAGCAUCAUUCACUUUGAGUUGCACUCUUUCAUUUGUUAAUGAAGCAUAAAUUAGACACAGGGGUGUUGAAAGAAACAAAGCAAUAGUAUUUUAAAUUGGUCAUGUUUUAUGUAACGAAUAACACUGUAGUUGUAAGUCAUUUAAAGUACAAUCAUUAUUUUUUUUCUUGUUCUCGCACACAUUUGUAAACAUCCAUCCAUUCAUGCCCGCUUCUUCCAUACAGGGAAGCUUGUGCCUAUCUCUAUCUCCAGUGGUCUACGGGUGAGAGGUACACCCUGGACAGGUCGCCACUCUAUCACAGGCAUUUGCAAACAAUGUUUUCUUAUGGGGUUAGCAGUCAUUUAAUGAGCAGCUUUUCAUUUCUGUACUGUUACUAUCUGUGUCUAAUUUCUGACUUUAGCUAUUGCAUAUUAUCCAGUUUGGAUAUUGUUACGGCCCAAGUCAGCCAGGGGUAGGUUGGAAGUAAACAUUUAAACCAGAUGUUAUUGGUUUUAUAAAAGAACAGAGCAGUUUAUUGCUUUUCAUUUAAGGUUUCUCUUUUUUUUUUUUUUUUUAAUACAAGCAUAGACUUAACAAGUACAAACCCUUAAAAAGGAGGUAAAACCCAAAAUACCAAAUUAACAACAACAUACACAACAACCAUUCAUUUAACUAAAAAUAAUCCCACAAUAAUCUGGACAAGAAGCUAAUUUGCCACUGGUUCGUUCUUAAAACAAGUUUAACAAAAAAAAGGGGCCUGAAUAGCUUUAGUCCUUAUUUCAAGUAAACAAACAACUAAAAGAAAAACUUAGGAAGCUUUCAACAAACCCCUUAAAGCCAAGUUAGAAAAAGGUUUUAACAAUCAAACAAGCUCAACAACCAAAGUCAAUGGUUUCAAGACAACCAGAACGAACGAGGCGAGUUGUUCAGUCUAAAUCACAGCCACCCUUAGCAGCAGGCGCAGAGAGUUUUUACAGGGUGAUCUCUUGGCGGCGCAUUGGCGGAAACAGGCAAUGAACAGUCCAACAUGAGCUCCCGGGGACGUCCAGCAGAAGGAGUGCAGAGCGCCUAGAAAGAUCCGAGUCCAACAGGAACAACAAAGAAGAGAGCAUCCAGCGAAGAAGAGAGUAACCAGGGGAUGUCCAGCCGAAGAGAAGAAGAGAUCCAAGCCCAACAGAAACAGCGCUACCAACAGCAACGAAGAAAACGGAGCCAGUCUGUUGCCAAGGUGGCUUCGGGACUUUUGCUAAGGAUCGAAGAGACUCACGGAUCACGGAUGGAAUCUCACGGAUUAUGUCACAUGAAAAAAAAAGGUUCCCGUCAUAAUUCAAAGUGUGGCAAAAGAGAAGAAGAAGCAAGGCUCCACACAGACAACUAAUGGAUGAGAUAGAGAGCAUCAGGGCUUUGUCAGGAUUGAGCACCAGGCUUUUCUUCUCCACCACUCACAUUCACGACACCUUGGCGCCCUCCACACCCUUCAUUGGAGCUACUAAUGCUAAUUUAGCUUUAUUAAUUCCCACCAAGUUUGUCCUCAAUCUGUAAAAACUGCAUCCAUUCACCUGUCUUUUUUUAAGGCAGUGUGGAAAAUAAAAGUAGAGGCAUUGUGAGAUGGUCUCUAUCUAUG